rnacentral:rRNA from 1 species
ACGCUGGCGGUAUGCUUAACACAUGCAAGUCGAACGGAAACGAUACUAGCUUGCUAGUAGGCGUCGAGUGGCGGACGGGUGAGUAACGCGUAGGAAUCUGCCUGAUAGUGGGGGAUAGCCCGGAGAAAUUCGGAUUAAUACCGCAUAAUCUAUUCGUAGUAAAGUGGGGGACUUUCGAGCCUCACGCUAUCAGAUGAGCCUGCGUAAGAUUAGCUUGUUGGUAGGGUAAAAGCCUACCAAGGCGACGAUCUUUAGCUGGUCUGAGAGGAUGAUCAGCCACAUCGGGACUGAGACACGGUCCGAACUCCUACGGGAGGCAGCAGUGGGGAAUAUUGGACAAUGGGGGCAACCCUGAUCCAGCAAUACCGCGUGUGUGAAGAAGGCCUGAGGGUUGUAAAGCACUUUCAAUUGUGAAGAAAAGUUAACGGUUAAUAACCGUUAGCCUUGACGUUAACUUUAGAAGAAGCACCGGCUAACUCCGUGCCAGCAGCCGCGGUAAUACGGAGGGUGCAAGCGUUAAUCGGAAUUACUGGGCGUAAAGCGUGCGUAGGUGGUUUAUUAAGUCAGAUGUGAAAGCCCCGGGCUUAACCUGGGAACUGCAUUUGAAACUGGU